GAUGAAGAACGUAGCGAAAUGCGAUAAUUGGUGUGAAUUGCAGAAUCCCGUGAACCAUCGAGUCUUUGAACGCAAGUUGCGCCCGAAGCCAUUAGGCCGAGGGCACGCCUGCCUGGGCGUCACACGUCGUUGCCCCCCCAUCUACUCCUUCGGGAUUGCGGGGGGCGGAUGAUGGCCUCCCGUGCGCCUCGCCGCGCGGUUGGCAUAAAUGCCAAGUCCUCGGCGACGCACGCCACGACAAUCGGUGGUUGCGAAACCUCGGUUGCCCGUCGUGUGCGGUCGUCGCGCAUCGAGGGCUCGAAAAAAUUGCCGGGUUCCGGCUCGGCUUUCAACGCGACCCCAGGUCAGGCGGGGUUACCCGCUGAAUUUAAGCAUAUCAAUAAGCGGAGGA
rnacentral:misc_RNA from 1 species